rnacentral:rRNA from 1 species
UACGUAGGGUGCAAGCGUUGUCCGGAAUUAUUGGGCGUAAAGAGCUCGUAGGCGGCUUGUCGCGUCGGAUGUGAAAGCCCGGGGCUUAACUCCGGGUCUGCAUUCGAUACGGGCAGGCUAGAGUUCGGUAGGGGAGAUCGGAAUUCCUGGUGUAGCGGUGGAAAUGACGCAGAUAUCAGGAGGAACACCGGUGGCGAAGGCGGAUCUCUGGGCCGAUACUGACGCUGAGGAGCGAAAGCGUGGGGAGCGAACAGG